UACGUAGGGUGCGAGCGUUUGUCCGGAAUUACUGGGCGUAAAGAGCUCGUAGGUGGUUUGUCGCGUUGUUCGUGAAAUCUCACGGCUUAACUGUGAGCGUGCGGGCGAUACGGGCAGACUAGAGUACUGCAGGGGAGACUGGAAUUCCUGGUGUAGCGGUGGAAUGCGCAGAUAUCAGGAGGAAACACCGGUGGCGGAAAGGCGGGUCUCUGGGCAGUAACUGACGCUGGAGGAGCGAAAAGCGUGGGGAGCGAACAGG
rnacentral:rRNA from 1 species